rnacentral:lncRNA from 12 species
GGGGGGGGGGGGGGGGGGGGGGGGGGGGGGGGGGGGGGGGGGGGGGGGGGGGGGGGGGGGGGGGGGGGGGGCUGGCUGCAGCAGCACUCCCAGAACCAGAAGUGCUCCUCAGUCCCAGCACAGAGGUGGCACAAUCAGAGCACAGCUUUUGGAGAGCCUCUGUAAUCUCUUAUUUCCCAGGCAGAAAGACAAAACACAUUCCAG